AUCGCUUCUCGGCCUUUUGGCUAAGAUCAAGUGUAGAAUCUGUUCUUAUCAGUUUAAAAAACAUUUAAAAAAGCAUAAAGCUUUGUGUACAUCAGUCAUACCUCAA
rnacentral:snRNA from 1 species